ACAGAGGUUUCUGCAGCUUAACCUGCAGUGCCACACGUCCACAUGCUCCUCUAGAUAUUUGACUAUAAAUCCCACCAUCCCAUACCAUUGGUUAAGCAGGCUAAGGUUGAUGGGGGUUGUAGUCCACCAGCAUCUGGAGGAUCAGAGCUUGUCCAUUCCUGCUUUGGUGGCCUUUUGUUAGGAUGGUGAUUUAUCAAUCAUCAAAAAGAAGGACACUUUUUUUUUAAAAAAAGGGAGGUACGAAAGAAGACACAGAGACACAUCACAUUUGCACCUGCUGAUUUAAAGACACAGAUGCAGAUUUCUCCCACAGAGCCAUUUUUGGCCAUUUCGUUAUGGCAUGGAGGUGACCCUGAUGUCUUAAAUGUGAUAUCUGUGGAGGAGAAGCAUUGGCAGUUCUUCUGAGCUGGUGGGCGACAUGGAGCCUUCCUGAAGAAUGUGAAUGCAUUUGGCCAUCCCUGCGCAAUGGCAGCACCUGUCGGUUGAUCCUUCAACUCCAGAACCACCCAUGAGAAGUGUUAGGAACACCAAGCAGAGUGCAUUGAAGACGAGAAACAGAAACAGAGGAGAGCGAGAAGAAAACAAAACACACAGCCAAUGAUUCACGGAAAAGAACAGUGGAAACAUUUCCAUUUCCAAUACUUUUUUGCAUCCCUUCCACAUGGACGUCUCUGAUACAAUCGUGUCAUUUUUCCCCCCACGUGUGAAUAAUCCUAUACCAUCAGUGGAUCUAUCAAGGUAGAAGAAGCAGGAAUUCAUCCAGCUGAAAGAUUUUAUUCAUCACAAUUCUAUCUCUGCCUUUGACUCACCCAACAGCCCUGUGAGGUAGCUGAGGAUAAGUGGGGGAUCGGAAUCUAGAUCUCGAUAAAGAUGAGUGGGGAUUGUACCUGGAUUUUCCUAAUCCUAUUCUGAAGGCCAAACUGGGUGUUAAUGCAGCUUGUGGUAAGAGGCAGUCAUUCUUUAUGUGCUGAAAGCUGCUUGUAAUCCCCCCCAAUUUUUCUGAUCUCUGGAGUCCGGUACGGAGAGGUGUCAAAUCAUCAUCAGCUUUCCUUGUGAGUUCUUCUUGGUUUUGCCAAACUUGUUCGGUCACCUGAAACUUGCUGGAAUGAAAUCCUUGGUUUCAGGUGUUUCCUUUGUUGAGGCUGUCCUGUUCAGGUUUUGCAUCGUGUUUUGUAUGGAUCUCGGCCUUCCGAAAUAGGAGAGGUUCUUGAUCUUGGGAAUGUUUUUCCUGCUAGAAAUGAAUGUUAAUAUUCUUGUCAUCAAGCAUUUCUUGUGUCUGUUUUUUUUGCUGGAUCCACAGCAUGCAAUCCAAGUGACAGUUUGCAAAGUAAAUAAAUCUCCUUGUUUUCCCA
rnacentral:lncRNA from 1 species